UACGUAGGGGGCAAGCGUUGUCCGGAAUCAUUGGGCGUAAAGCGCGCGUAGGCGGCCCGGUAAGUCCGCUGUGAAAGUCAAAGGCUCAACCUUUGAAUGCCGGUGGAUACUGUCGGGCUAGAGUCCGGAAGAGGCGAGUGGAAUUCCUGGUGUAGCGGUGGAAUGCGCAGAUAUCAGGAGGAACACCAAUAGCGAAGGCAGCUCGCUGGGACGGUACUGACGCUGAGGCGCGAAAGCCAGGGGAGCAAACGGG
rnacentral:rRNA from 1 species